rnacentral:rRNA from 1 species
GACGAACGCUGGCGGCGUGCUUAACACAUGCAAGUCGAACGGUGAACUCCGCUUGCGGGGGGAUCAGUGGCGAACGGGUGAGUAACACGUGGGCAACCUGCCCUCAGCUCUGGGAUAACUCCAAGAAAUUGGGGCUAAUACCGGAUAUGACCGCUGACCGCAUGGUCUGGUGGUGGAAAGAUUUAUCGGCUGGGGAUGGGCCCGCGGCCUAUCAGCUUGUUGGUGGGGUAGUGGCCUACCAAGGCGACGACGGGUAGCCGGCCUGAGAGGGUGACCGGCCACACUGGGACUGAGACACGGCCCAGACUCCUACGGGAGGCAGCAGUGGGGAAGAUUGCGCAAUGGGCGAAAGCCUGACGCAGCGACGCCGCGUGGGGGAUGACGGCCUUCGGGUUGUAAACCUCUUUCAGCAGGGACGAAGCGAAAGUGACGGUACCUGCAGAAGAAGCACCGGCCAACUACGUG